rnacentral:rRNA from 1 species
UGGGGAAUAUUGGACAAUGGGGGCAACCCUGAUCCAGCCAUGCCGCGUGUGUGAAGAAGGCUUUCGGGUUGUAAAGCACUUUCAGUGAGGAGGAAAACCUUACGACUAAUACUCGUGAGGCUUGACGUUACUCACAGAAGAAGCACCGGCUAACUCCGUGCCAGCAGCCGCGGUAAUACGGAGGGUGCAAGCGUUAAUCGGAAUUACUGGGCGUAAAGCGCGCGUAGGUGGUUUGAUAAGCGAGAUGUGAAAGCCCCGGGCUCAACCUGGGAACGGCAUUUCGAACUGUCAGGCUAGAGUAUGGUAGAGGAGUGUGGAAUUUCCUGUGUAGCGGUGAAAUGCGUAGAUAU